AUUGAACGCUGGCGGCAUGCCUUACACAUGCAAGUCGAGCGGCAGCGCGGGGGCAACCCUGGCGGCGAGCGGCGGACGGGUGAGUAAUGCAUCGGAACGUGUCCUCUUGUGGGGGAUAACCAGUCGAAAGAUUGGCUAAUACCGCAUGAGCUCGCAAGAGGAAAGCAGGGGACCCGCAAGGGCCUUGCGCGAGAGGAGCGGCCGAUGCCCGAUAGCCAGUUGGUGGGGUAAUAGCCCACCAAGGCGACGAUCGGUAGCUGGUCUGAGAGGACGACCAGCCACACUGGGACUGAGACACGGCCCAGACUCCUACGGGAGGCAGCAGUGGGGAAUUCUGGACAAUGGGGAAACCCUGAUCCAGCCAUGCCGCGUGUGUGAAGAAGGCCUGGUUGUAAG
rnacentral:rRNA from 1 species